CUGGCAGUGAUGAGAGGCGCAGGUGUAUGUACUUCAGCUUUUAAUGGGAACUGAGUGCAGCUGCUGGUUCUUAGCUCCCUGGGCAUGUGGUCUGCUGGGGGGGGAGGUCCGAACAUGAUAUAGAUGCCAGACUGCGCCUC
rnacentral:snoRNA from 1 species